UAGGGGUUGCUCGUCCAGUCAGAAGUAUUGAUCCUUACUGGCCUCGUAACUUCUAGC
rnacentral:pre_miRNA from 1 species